UCCAAGGUGGACCACCACCUGUCUUUCAUGCCCCCCAUCUAGCUAAUUCAAUGUUAAAUAUCUACAAUCAGCUCGAUCGCCAGACCUUCUCCUCUCUCGCCUUAGCUAUCAAUUGAUCGGCCACGAUGGUGAAGACAGCAGCGGCGCUUCCGGUCUCGAAGCAGGAAGAAGAGGUGGUGGAUGCGAUCGAAAGUGGCCUGAGCGGUGUACGGACCGCGGAAACGCUGCUGCGCGUUGUGCCGAUGGGGUUCUGCCUCGCCGCACUAAUCCUCACCAUUAAGAAUUCCGUGGACAACGAUUUUGGCUCCGUCUCUUAUUCUGAUAUCGGAUCCUAGCUUCAAGUAUUUGGUCUACAUGAACGGGCUAGCUGUGCGCUGGCUACUCCAUCUUCUCAGCUUUCUACACCGCUAUCCCCCGCCCCCUUUACAUGUCUCGCGCUUGGACUAUCUUCUUCCUCGAUCAGGCAAGGUUUCUUUCUUAGUGAGAUUUUCUUGGAAAAGUUAUUGCUCAUAAUAUAGAAACAAUUUUGCGCGAGAAAAUGGAGAUAAAAACUUAUUUUUCACUUCAAAAUACAGUAAUACAUCAAAAAAUGACUAGAUAGGAAAGUUAAGCUUUACUGCCAAGUCCAAAGCAACAAGAAAUAGGUUUUGGUGGAUGCCAGCAACCGUCCUUCCUUAGUACUUGAAUGAAUUCCCUGAUUUUUAUAAAUCUAAGCCAGUUUCACAAUUCUAAAAUAAGCUGAUUCUUUUUUCAAGAAAAUGCUUCUGAUGAAGAAAUGUAGGAGAACAACUCCCCCAUGCUCUUGUGGUGAUUCAGUUUUCUGGUUUCUUUCUCCUUCCAGCUUGCAGCAAAGACAUCACAGUUGAGUUUUUUUUCCUUUGGAUUCCUGCAAUGUUAUUCAAGUGCACCCUUUCUUUAAAGAAAACAAGACAAGCACAAGCAAAUUACUGCUAACCAAAAGAAGAAAACAAGAUAAUGAAAUAAAGAGUUGACAGAGAACUUAACAUAAUAAUUCUUGCAACGAGGUGUCUUCUCCUUCUCAAUCUUUCUUAUUUUCGCAGUCUUGAUCCACUGCAUUGGUAAAGUAUCUUUGGAUAGAUCUACACUCUACUUCACAUACAACCGUUGUAUUUGCAAUCCUGCAAGAAGGCAAGGGAGAAAAACAACAAAGAAAUAGAAAAAAAAAAAUUAUUAUUCUGUAUAAAUAACUCAACGAACUGCCUAUAUAUCUGUAACAGUUUUUGAAGCUUAUAACUAGAAGAAAAAAAUUAAAAGAGAAUCAUCAAGAACUGAUGGGGCAGAUAGAUAAGAACCAAUAGUAAAGAAUUCUAGAAUAUAUUGUCGAAAUCAAGUGCUAAAUAUAAAAAAUUUACAUGAUUGAGUGACCAACACAACCAAAUGAAGACUAUUAGCAUAAAGCCCAAUCUUCAUGCAGCAACAACAACA